rnacentral:rRNA from 1 species
GGGGAAUUUUCCGCAAUGGGCGAAAGCCUGACGGAGCAAUACCGCGUGAGGGAGGAAGGCUCUUGGGUCGUAAACCUCUUUUCUCAGGGAAGAACACAAUGACGGUACCUGAGGAAUAAGCAUCGGCUAACUCCGUGCCAGCAGCCGCGGUAAUACGGAGGAUGCAAGCGUUAUCCGGAAUGAUUGGGCGUAAAGCGUCCGCAGGUGGCUAUGUAAGUCUGCUGUUAAAGAAUCUAGCUCAACUAGAUACAAGCAGUGGAAACUACAAGGCUAGAGUACGUUCGGGGCAGAGGGAAUUCCUGGUGUAGCGGUGAAAUGCGUAGAGAUCAGGAAGAACACCGGUGGCGAAGGCGCUCUGCUAGGCCGUAACUGACACUGAGGGACGAAAGCUAGGGGAGCGAAUGGGAUUAGAUACCCCAGUAGUCCUAGCCGUAAACGAUGGAUACUAGGCGUGGCUUGUAUCGACCCGAGCCGUGCCGUAGCUAACGCGUUAAGUAUCCCGCCUGGGGAGUACGCCGGCAACGGUGAAACUCAAAGGAAUUGACGGGGGCCCGCACAAGCGGUGGAGUAUGUGGUUUAAUUCGAUGCAACGCGAAGAACCUUACCAAGGCUUGACAUGUCGCGAAUCUUGAUGAAAGUUGAGAGUGCCUUCGGGAGCGCGAACACAGGUGGUGCAUGGCUGUCGUCAGCUCGUGUCGUGAGAUGUUGGGUUAAGUCCCGCAACGAGCGCAACCCUCGUUUUUAGUUGCCAGCAUUAAGUUGGGCACUCUAGAGAGACUGCCGGUGACAAACCGGAGGAAGGUGGGGAUGACGUCAAGUCAGCAUGCCCCUUACGCCUUGGGCUACACACGUACUACAAUGCUCCGGACAGAGGGCAGCGAGCGGGCGACCGCAAGCAAAUCCCGGAAACCGGAGCUCAGUUCAGAUCGCAGGCUGCAACUCGCCUGCGUGAAGGAGGAAUCGCUAGUAAUUGCAGGUCAGCAUACUGCAGUGAAUUCGUUCCCGGGCCUUGUACACACCGCCCGUCACACCAUGGAAGCUGGUAGUGCCCGAAGUCAUUACUCCAACCUUUCGAGGGGGAGGAUGCCUAAGGCAGGACUGGUGACUGGGGUGAAGUCGUAACAAGGUAGCCGUACCGGAAGGUGUGGCUGGAUCACCUCCUU